CCUACGGGGGGCAGCAGUGAGGAAUAUUGGUCAAUGGGCUUACGCCUGAACCAGCCAAGUCGCGUGAGGGAAGACUGCCCUAUGGGUUGUAAACCUCUUUUGUCAGGGAGCAACGCCGACUACGUGUAGCCGGACUGAGAGUACCUGAAGAAUAAGCUCCGGCUAACUACGUGCCAGCAGCCGCGGUAAUACGUAGGGAGCAAGCGUUAUCCGGAUUUAUUGGGUGUAAAGGGUGCGUAGACGGAGAAGCAAGUUAGUUGUGAAAUCCCUCGGCUUAACUGAGGAACUGCAACUAAAACUACUUCCCUUGAGUACUGGAGAGGAAAGUGGAAUUCCUAGUGUAGCGGUGAAAUGCGUAGAUAUUAGGAGGAACACCAGUGGCGAAGGCGACUUUCUGGACAGUAACUGACGUUGAGGCACGAAAGUGUGGGGAGCAAACAGGAUUAGAUACCCUUGUAGUC
rnacentral:rRNA from 1 species